rnacentral:rRNA from 1 species
UUUAUUGAGAGUUUGAUCCUGGCUCAGGAUGAACGCUGGCGGCGUGCCUAACACAUGCAAGUCGAACGAAGCACUGCAAACGGAGAUUCGUCAAAGUUUGUUUUGACUUAGUGGCGGACGGGUGAGUAAUGUAUGAGCAACCUGCCUUUCAGUGGGGGACAACAGUUGGAAACGACUGCUAAUACCGCAUGAUGUCAAUUGGGGGCAUCCCCGAAUGACCAAAGGAUUUAUUCGCUGAAAGAUGGGCUCAUAUCUGAUUAGCUAGUUGGUGAGGUAACGGCUCACCAAGGCUGCGAUCAGUAGCCGGACUGAGAGGUUGAACGGCCACAUUGGGACUGAGAUACGGCCCAGACU